ensembl:lncRNA
GCGCUGGUAACUCCUGCGUUUUCACCGACAUUCUUCAAUGAAUCAGCAACAGAGAAAGCUGCAGAUUGAAAGACCUUCAUCGUGGUGAAAAACCAUCAGAGACAGCUUUUUAACUCGCCGUAAAUGCAAAAUAAGAGAGGUAAAGUGAGAAAGGUUUCAUGAGAUGACAUUUUGUCCCUGGCUUAUUCAAAAGAGCCGUCAUCAGACCCUGAAGAGGAAAGGCAGUGAGGGAAGUAACUUUUGUAGCUCCAUAAAUGGCCUCAGUACCCUGCAGGUGUCUUUGAGUGUGACAAAAAUCAAUUCAACAUGAGCAUUCCAACUAGUAUCCAAGGCCUGAGGGUCAGUGUUGACAGAGGAGAAAAGAUUGGAAAUAAAACCCAGGUCCAGUUCACUCAGUCUGGAGAUGACAACGCCAAUCAGUUAUCCUCAAUCAGUGAUCAAGAAAGAAGAGGUUUGUAUGAAGACACGGGAUACGGCACAAGCUCUAUUCCUCCCUUGGUCUCUCAGAGCGACUCCCCAGAAAAGUUAGAGUUUUGGGGAUCAGAGCAGCAAUGCGUGGAGUCUGAGCUCCGAGACUAUGAGCUUUUGGCACGUCAGGAGAUACAUACUUACCUGGGAAGCAGGAAUCAGGAGGAGAAUGAGGAGGACGAUUGUGGAAGCAUGAAAGAUGGAAAAGAUGAAGGUGCCAUGUCAAUAUCAUCGAGUUCAACAGCCAGCUCUGCUUCUACCGGCGUGAGGAGAAAUGACAAUGACAGCAACAGAGUGGAGAGUAAAAUUCAGAGAGGCAAAGAGGUUCAGAAAAGGAUCGCCUGUCAUAGCACUGAGGAGCUAGACACAUGUGUGACAGCAGAGAAACAGGACACCAGGUCAGGCAGAGAAAGAUGGAAGGGAGGUCUGAAGGAGUCUAAGUCUGAGACGAAUGUGUUCGUCUCCAGCCUGUCAGCUGUUUCCCUCAGUGGAAGCCUGUCUAGUGCUCUGGAUGGUGGUGGAGAAACUUCUCUCACCUCUCUGUCGAAGACCAACCCUUAUCACAAUGCCCAAAACACUACCUCAGCCCAGAACAGAAGAAGGGCAGCGCCUGUAGAUGCCAAUCAGAACUCCCCACCGAUGCAUCCUCAGGAGACCCCUAACCCAACAUUCUCAUACCAGGAUCAGAGAAAAGAUGAGAGAAGUCAUAGAAAUGGCUUGUCCUCUGAUGGAGGGCUGGGCCAAAGGAGAAAGGCUGGAUUUGAGGAGAGGGUGC